rnacentral:rRNA from 1 species
UACGGAGGGUGCAAGCGUUAUCCGGAUUCACUGGGUUUAAAGGGUGCGUAGGUGGGUUGGUAAGUCAGUGGUGAAAUCCCCGAGCUUAACUUGGGAACUGCCAUUGAUACUAUCAGUCUUGAAUACCGUGGAGGUCAGCGGAAUAUGUCAUGUAGCGGUGGAAUGCUUAGAUAUGACAUAGAACACCAAUUGCGAAGGCAGCUGGCUACACGGAUAUUGACACUGAGGCACGAAAGCGUGGGGAUCAAACAGG